AAGAAAUCUCUUUUUAAAGAGUGUCCUGGCCAAGACAGGCAGCAGUACAACCACACAUAUAGACAAACACAAAAACCUAAAACAACUGGAACAGCAAAUCCCACAUCAGGAAAAACAUCUGCAGCCAGCUGUGGCUGCCUCCAAGUCAGUCAACAUCCUCUUA